UACAGAGGUCUCAAGCGUUGUUCGGAAUCACUGGGCGUAAAGGGUGCGUAGGCCGCACGGAAAGUCAGAGGUGAAAUCCCGGAGCUCAACUCCGGAAUUGCCUCCGAUACUCCCGUGCUUGAGGACUGGAGAGGAGUCUGGAAUUCACAGUGGAGCAGUGAAAUGCGUAGAUAUUGUGAGGAACACUAGUGGCGAAGGCGAGACUCUGGACAGUUCCUGACGCUGAGGCACGAAGGCCAGGGGAGCGAACGGG
rnacentral:rRNA from 1 species